rnacentral:lncRNA from 1 species
CCGGCUGAGCGCUGGAAGGAGGCUGGACCGGAGGCGAGACUCUGAGCCCGCGUGAUUGGCUGCGAUCCUAGACGUUGAUGGGAUAGGGCGCCCGGGAGAACUGGGGAGAGGAGUUCGGGGUCGGGGCCGCGGGAAGGCGGGAGGCGCCCCGCCGCUUUCGGGGCCCGGCGCGGGGCACGCUGGGACGCCUCCGGGAAGGGGCGGAGCCGUGCGCGGGCUGCGGUUGGGGAAGCGCCGUCACCCGGAGGGGCGUGUUGGAGAAGGUUUCGCGGGCCCAAGCGGGGGAGGGGGGACCGUUAAAGCGCUGCACCGCGCCCACAGGAAGCUGCUUUAAUGGUUAGGCCUACUCGGUACCAGGCUCUCGGCUGGGAAGGACCUUGAAGACCAUGCGGUUCAACUUCCAAUUUGCAGAUGUGGAAACUGAAGCCCAGAGAGGGUGCUAAUCGGGAUAAUUCUUCAGCCAUGAGCAGCUCAGAGGAGUGUCAUGUUUUUUGGAAUGGUGGCAGCUUCUACCAGGGCUGACCUAGGAGAUGCUGGGCCCAAGUCUGGCUGGAAGAAAUCACGGGGAGAGAAUGUCUUAGCAGUUCUGCUCCGGUGGGUUUGAGAAAGAGGCGGAAGACUGACCUUUUCUGAAGGCGGCGUUGGAGAGUCGGUGUGGCCUUGAGAAAUACACACGGCCAGAAAUGGUGUGAUCCUGCUCCAAACAGCUGGGCUCACCCUUGGGCUUCAUGAACCUCACACAGGAGGUUUCAACUGAAGUAAACUUAUGACCUUUCCAUCAGUUCCCUUGAUAGAGUCUGUGCACUCUGUGAUCACUGUAAGAAUGAAGGAUGAGCCCGCACUUCUUUCCACUCGUAAAGGCCACAGCAUUAGCUUCAUCCUACCACACCGCUUCACAUUCUUCCGACUUUCAAGAGCUCCACUGAUGGAAGAGGGAACUGACCCGUGAGGAAAGCAACAGUCAUCUCAUCCAUCCUCAUUCAUCUCAAAUAUGUUAAAUGUUUGGUACUUUUUCUUAUAAACUGUUUCUCUCCAUCAUCUUGUAUUCUAUGUUCUUGUCUUGAGACUUCUCCCAUUAAACCAUCAUUUAGUAUACUGUUUUCUUCGUCUCAACUUCUUCAGAAGUCUAAUAAGCACCAAGAAGAGAGUAUCCAUAAGAUUAGUAUUUCAACCCCAAUGAUUGAAAUUGCAGUGUAAUAAACCUGCACAAUUUGUCAAAUUGAUGAUAAAGGUUAUGGUUGGUUGAGGUGGGAGGGAGGUGGAUGUCUCAGAGGACCACACUGGUAUGGUCAGCCAAACCAUGGCAAGACGUAAUUUUUUUUUCUUCUGGGUUGUCAUCUUAAUUGGUGGAUCGCAUGUCUGCU